rnacentral:rRNA from 1 species
AUGUCUACGGGACGCAGCAGUGGGGAAUAUUGCACAAUGGGGGAAACCCUGAUGCAGCAACGCCGCGUGAAGGAAGACGGUUUUCGGAUUGUAAACUUCUGUUCUUAGUGAAGAAGAAUGACGGUAGCUAAGGAGCAAGCCACGGCUAACUACGUGCCAGCAGCAGCGGUAAUACGCAGGUGGCAAGCGUUGUCCGGAAUUACUGAGUGUAAAGGGAUCGCAGGCGGGAAGCCAAGUCAGCUGUGAAAACUAAGGGCAUAACUUGUAGACUGGAGUUGAAACUGGUUUUCUUGAGUGAAGUAGAG